CCUACGGGUGGCAGCAGUGAGGAAUAUUGGUCAAUGGGCGCGAGCCUGAACCAGCCAAGUCGCGUGAGGGAUGACGGUCCUACGGAUUGUAAACCUCUUUUGCCGGGGAGCAAGCGUGCGUUCGUGAACGCGCGUCGAGAGUACUCGGAGAAAAAGCAUCGGCUAACUCCGUGCCAGCAGCCGCGGUAAUACGGAGGGUGCGAGCGUUGAUCGGAAUCACUGGGCGUAAAGCGCGCGGAGGCGGCUUUUCAAGGCAGGGGGGAAAUCCCACGGCCCAACCGUGGAACAGCCUUUGAAACUGGCGAGCUGGAGUGGCAGAGAGGGUGGCGGAAUGCCAGGUGUAGGAGUGAAAUCCGUAGAUAUCUGGAGGAACACCGGUGGCGAAGGCGGCCACCUGGACGACAACUGACGCUGAGGUACGAAAGCGUGGGUAGCGAACAGGAUUAGAUACCCCAGUAGUC
rnacentral:rRNA from 1 species